CGGCAGUCCAAAACCUGUGACGUAUGUGAAAACCCUCUACUUCAAGUCCCACAACUACUCACCCAAGAACUAAUAUAUCCAGAUAACAUGAAAUUCACUCCACCUGAGUCAGAUGUCAUGGAGAUCAUCCAGACACCAGAAGUAGAUCACACAGGACUCAGCGGUGAUGAGAAACAUUCAGCUGACCUGUGAGUGGGUAAAGGAGACCACUUUGCUAGGAAGAUGAGCUGCAAAAGAUCUAAAGAAGGAUGAUACCCUAUUAGCUAUAACAAUGUGGGACUUGUUUAAAAACACCAUGUUUUAUGAGGGUGAAAGGAAUGAAGAAGAAAUGUCGACUCCCUUCC